GAGGGUAUAGCUCAGUGGUAGAGCACAUGCUUAGCAUGCACGAGGUCCUGGGUUCAAUCCCCAGUACCGCCA
rnacentral:tRNA from 1 species